AGCCUGAACGCUGGCGGCGUGGCUAAGACAUGCAAGUCGCACGGGUGUAGCAAUACACCAGUGGCGGACGGGUGAGUAAUGUAUCGCUAACGUACCCUUCAGUCCGGGAUAGCCGAGGGAAACUUCGGGUAAUACCGGUUGACAUCACGAUCAGGCAUCUGAUUGUGCUCAAAGGCGUAAGCC
rnacentral:rRNA from 1 species